rnacentral:rRNA from 1 species
AUUGAACGCUGGCGGCAGGCCUAACACAUGCAAGUCGAGCGGCAGCGGAAAGUAGCUUGCUACUUUGCCGGCGAGCGGCGGACGAGUGAGUAAUGUCUGGGAAACUGCCUGAUGGAGGGGGAUAACUACUGGAAACGGUAGCUAAUACCGCAUAACGUCGCAAGACCAAAGAGGGGGACCUUCGGGCCUCUUGCCAUCAGAUGUGCCCAGAUGGGAUUAGCUAGUAGGUGGGGUAAUGGCUCACCUAGGCGACGAUCCCUAGCUGGUCUGAGAGGAUGAACAGCCACACUGGAACUGAGACACGGUCCAGACUCCUACGGGAGGCAGCGGUGGGGAAUAUUGCACAAUGGGCGCAAGCCUGAUGCAGCCAUGCCGCGUGUAUGAAGAAGGCCUUUGGGUUGUAAAGUACUUUCAGCGGGGAGGAAGGUGUUGAGGUUAAUAACCUCAGCAAUUGACGUUACCCGCAGAAGAAGCACCGGCUAACUCCGUGCCAGCCGCCGCAGUAA